rnacentral:misc_RNA from 1 species
UUUCCGUAGGUGAACCUGCGGAAGGAUCAUUAUUGGAUUUUGAAACUUCAGGCUGCUGCUGGCUCUCCUCGGAGGGCAUGUGCACGCUUGUUGUCCAUUAUUUCUCCCACUGUGCACAAAUUGUAGACCUUUCAGUAGGCCUAUGUUGUUUUUCACAAUCUCUGAAUGUAAUAGAAUGGUUUUGAAUCUUGGGAAAUACAAUACAACUUUCAGCAACGGAUCUCUUGGCUCUCGCAUCGAUGAAGAACGCGC